UACGAAGGAUUCGAGCGUUAUCCGGAUUUAUUGGGUUUAAAGGGUGCGUAGGUGGAUCAAUAAGUCAGUGGUGAAAGCCCAGAGCUCAACUCUGGAACUGCCAUUGAUACUGUUGAUCUUGAGUACAGUUGAGGUGGGCGGAAUGUGUCAUGUAGCGGUGAAAUGCUUAGAUAUGACACAGAACACCGAUUGCGAAGGCAGCUCACUAAGCUGUAACUGACACUGAGGCACGAAAGCGUGGGGAGCAAACAGG
rnacentral:rRNA from 1 species